rnacentral:rRNA from 1 species
UACGGAGGGAGCUAGCGUUGUUCGGAAUUACUGGGCGUAAAGCGCACGUAGGCGGUUACUCAAGUCAGAGGUGAAAGCCCGGGGCUCAACCCCGGAACUGCCUUUGAAACUAGGUGACUGGAAUCUUGGAGAGGUAAGUGGAAUUCCGAGUGUAGAGGUGAAAUUCGUAGAUAUUCGGAAGAACACCAGUGGCGAAGGCGACUUACUGGACACAUAUUGACGCUGAGGUGCGAAAGCGUGGGGAGCAAACAGG